AAAAUUUUGCCCGAACCCUUCUACGUUUCUCAUCUCACUCUGACACACAACUCAUUCCUCUCAUUCUUCCUCCCUCAUGGACGAUUUUGUGUAAAUUCAAAGUCGCCACCGCCGACUAUUACAUGCUCACCAGGUGUGAUUGCUACUGUUUUGGAGUUUGGAAGACCAUUAGAGCCUCAUGGUUUUCGUGAUGAUUCGAGUGGGGUCACUGUGCUUUAUUAAGGGAAUUUCAUACUUCUUUUGUAAUCUUUUCUUUCAAGGUCAAGUUUCAAGGUACUACUUUUCACUAAAGUGACGAGGUUUUAAUAUAAGAUUAUAGAUGGCUACUAGAAUGACAUUAUGUUGUUUUUCUGGCAUUUCACAUAUGCAUCGCAUAAAAUAUUCUUGGAUUUUUUUGGUCCUUAUAAAUAUCCACUAUUCAAAAGGAUAUUUGAUGAUAGGCAUGUCGAUUAAUUAUGCGUUAUAUGGUAAUAUUCAGUUGCCAUCAGCUCACACCAAUGUGCUAAAAAGAUAUGUGAUGAGCCUAGCAACUAGCAUAAUUGGUUUAAAAACCAAUGAAUGAAUAGCAAAAUAAGCUGAAGUGAGUUAAUUUUUCUAUGAUUUUUUUAGCUUGUUUUCAAUUAUUGCUAAUGCAUAGUAUUCUUUAUUGGUCUUGUUUAAUUUGGAAUCCUUUUAAAGUUGUUGGUAGUGAUUCUGAAUGGACAUCUAUUUGUACAAGGUCACAUGGGAGAAAAUGGGAAAUUGAUAUGGAUUAAGAACAGAAGAGAAAAGAAAAAUGACAAAAUGAAUGAAUAAAAAUAAAUGUAGGAAGGGGGUUGGCUGAUUGUUUGUGUUUGCAUUGACAUUGUCAAUUCUUUCUUAAUGAGUUUAAUUUGUUUUAUUUUUCUGUAUUUGGUGUUAAUUUUAAAAGUAGGUUUAUAUAUGUUCUUCCUUAAUGGGUGUAAAUGUGUUCUUUUAAAAAUAGAUGUGUUUUUAAUGUUUACAAAUUUUACAUGUUAUGGUGGUUUGGUAGAAUUUAAUUGAGCUCAUUACCAUUGUUGAAUGUGACAAUGGAAUGUGUGGAAAGUGAAACAUAUAUUUUCCCCUAUUUGAAGAAAGAGUGAGAUUCUUGGGUGUGCAAAAGUGAGAUUGUAUAUGGUAUGGUAAUUUAUCAAAAAAUAAAAAAAUAAAAUUUGUAUAUGGUAUGGAAUAUAUGAGUUUAAUAUUUAGAAUAUUUCUUUGAAUUUUAGGAUGGUUGGAUUUUUGUUGGAAUAGUUGAAGGUCUUCUUCUUAUGGAAUUUUUUGAUCAACAUAGAGUUGGAACUUGGCCGUGUAAGUUAUGAGUGUGAAAUUUUUGCUUCAUGCUUUAUAUAUAUUUGCUACAAAACUUGGUUUUACAAUGGAAAUGCAGCUUCUAGGGACUAGUUUUCAAUAGGAUGUUUAGACAAAAUUUUAAGAAACUUUAGCAGAAAUUAUUGGGAUUUUUUAUCCGUGAAUGGUCUAAAAAUUCUGGAAAAACUAUGUAGAGGCUUGUAAGAAGCUUUUCAAACAUGUUGGGAAACAAUGGAAAAUGUAUGGAAAAUGCUUCCCACAAAAUCAUCUCUUUAGCUAUACUCCUGAAGGAUUUUUUCCCUUUUCAA